rnacentral:rRNA from 1 species
UACGUAGGCAGCGAGCGUUGUUCGGAGUUACUGGGCGUAAAGGGUGUGUAGGCGGUCCUCUAAGUUUGGUGUGAAAUCUCCCGGCUCAACCGGGAGGGUGCGCCGAAAACUGGAGGGCUAGAGUGCGGGAAGGGAGAGUGGAAUUCCUGGUGUAGCGGUGAAAUGCGCAGAUAUCAGGAAGAACACCAAUGGCGAAGGCAGCUCUCUGGGACGGUACUGACGCUGAGACGCGAAAGCGUGGGGAGCGAACAGG